rnacentral:rRNA from 1 species
CCCUAUGGGGCGCACCAGGCUUGAACGGAGCAACGUCCCGCGGUUCGGACUUUUCCGGGUCGCGGUUUGCCGGUGGCACUCAUAAGAUGCAUAAAUUCGCCCCAUCUCUGAAACCUCACCGAAAUGGGUCUGCGGUAGCGAUUUUUGCUCUCGGCGGGAGGUCGCUGUCGUUGAAGAUUGCUCAAAUAGCUGUGGAACCAGGGGCGAUUCUUGUGCUAAAGUCGACUUUGAUCGAAUUCCGGGAAACUUCUGAGCGGAUAAUGUGAAUCUUUGGACGAAUUGGCGGGGGGGC